rnacentral:lncRNA from 1 species
GUCACAAUCCAAGAGGAAGGCAGGUGACUUCUGCUGCCAUCACAUCCCCCAGUGAUGUCUCUGUGGAGGAAGGCAGAGUGCAUUGCACAGUGUGCUGCAGAGAGGAGAGGCACGGCUCCGUGCCUGCAGUCCAAACGCCAGGAUCCGUGCCUGAUGCCUCCCAACGGCAGCAGUCUCGGGGCAGUCUGGCAGAUGUCCAUCAGAGUGGCAGAUGUCCAUCAGAGUGGCAGAUGUCCAUCAGAGUGGCAGAUGUCCAUCAGAGGCUCUCACCCUCCUCUGGCAUUGCUCCUUCACCACCCAGCCAUGCAGCGCCGUCAUGCAGGGAGUUCUGCCAUCUGAAGACGGAUCAUUCAUUGUGCUGAGGAAACGACAGCCACCAGAGGAGAACCUGGAUGAUCUAACCAGUCGAGUCACCGAAUCACAAAAAGUUUUGGAAGGGAUCUCUGGAGAUCAUUUGUGCAAACUGCCGACACAAAGCAAGACUAUCACUGGCAUUGCAGCGGUGGUUGGAGGCACCAGCUGUUUCAGCUUCAGUUUCUGUGCAUGUGGAACAGGGGUGACACCACACUGGGGAAGAUGAUUACCUGUUUGGUGAAGCAUCUGGAGAUCAACAGGCAACAAGCACUGCCUUAGCUUGAAGGACAUACAAGACUAUUCAAAGCUGCUGGCAGUCAAGGAUAAGAAUUCUGUUUUUCCUGGCCUUUGUAUGAGGCUUGUGGAUUCAUGUUUUAGGCACAAGAAUGCUGAAUGUGUUCAUAUAUAAUAUUUCUAAACACAACUUGUAGAAAAAGAUAUAACCAUAUUAGUACAUAGGCCUCGAAGAGGGGAUGAUACAGCCCUAAAUAUUCAUCUGUUUCCCAGUAGAUUUAAAACCAGUGGCUGCCUGGAAGCUAUUCCUGAUGUGAUACUGGCUGUCAUAUUUGUUUACUUAAACUGAAUGAUGUCAGAAUAAAGAGAGCUUCUUUGCUCCUUUAUAGUAGCUUCCAUGUUUCAGACUG